rnacentral:rRNA from 1 species
GAUGAACGCUGGCGGCGUGCCUAAUACAUGCAAGUCGAGCGAAUGGAUUAAGAGCUUGCUCUUAUGAAGUUAGCGGCGGACGGGUGAGUAACACGUGGGUAACCUGCCCAUAAGACUGGGAUAACUCCGGGAAACCGGGGCUAAUACCGGAUAACAUUUUGAACCGCAUGGUUCGAAAUUGAAAGGCGGCUUCGGCUGUCACUUAUGGAUGGACCCGCGUCGCAUUAGCUAGUUGGUGAGGUAACGGCUCACCAAGGCAACGAUGCGUAGCCGCCCUGAGAGGGUGAUCGGCCACACUGGGACUGAGACACGGCCCAGACUCCGCCGGGAGGUAGCAGUAGGGAAUCUUCCGCAAUGGACGAAAGUCUGACGGAGCAACGCCGCGUGAGUGAUGAAGGCUUUCGGGUCGUAAAACUCUGUUGUUAGGGAAGAACAAGUGCUAGUUGAAUAAGCUGGCACCUUGACGGUACCUAACCAGAAAGCCACGGCUAACUACGUGCCAGCCGCCGCAGUAA